AGGCACGCUGAUAUGUAGGUGAAGUCCCUCGCGGAUGGAGCUGAAAUCAGUCGAAGAUACCAGCUGGCUGCAACUGUUUAUUAAAAACACAGCACUGUGCAAACACGAAAGUGGACGUAUACGGUGUGACGCCUGCCCGGUGCCGGAAGGUUAAUUGAUGGGGUCAGCGCAAGCGAAGCUCUUGAUCGAAGCCCCGGUAAACGGCGGCCGUAACUAUAACGGUCCUAAGGUAGCGAAAUUCCUUGUCGGGUAAGUUCCGACCUGCACGAAUGGCGUAAUGAUGGCCAGGCUGUCUCCACCCGAGACUCAGUGAAAUUGAACUCGCUGUGAAGAUGCAGUGUACCCGCGGCAAGACGGAAAGACCCCGUGAACCUUUACUAUAGCUUGACACUGAACAUUGAGCCUUGAUGUGUAGGAUAGGUGGGAGGCUUAGAAGUGUGGACGCCAGUCUGCAUGGAGCCGGCCUUGAAAUACCACCCUUUAAUGUUUGAUGUUCUAACGUGGACCCGUAAUCCGGGUUGCGGACAGUGUCUGGUGGGUAGUUUGACUGGGGCGGUCUCCUCCUAAAGAGUAACGGAGGAGCACGAAGGUUGGCUAAUCCUGGUCGGACAUCAGGAGGUUAGUGCAAUGGCAUAAGCCAGCUUGACUGCGAGCGUGACGGCGCGAGCAGGUGCGAAAGCAGGUCAUAGUGAUCCGGUGGUUCUGAAUGGAAGGGCCAUCGCUCAACGGAUAAAAGGUACUCCGGGGAUAACAGGCUGAUACCGCCCAAGAGUUCAUAUCGACGGCGGUGUUUGGCACCUCGAUGUCGGCUCAUCACAUCCUGGGGCUGAAGUAGGUCCCAAGGGUAUGGCUGUUCGCCAUUUAAAGUGGUACGCGAGCUGGGUUUAGAACGUCGUGAGACAGUUCGGUCCCUAUCUGCCGUGGGCGCUGGAGAACUGAGGGGGGCUGCUCCUAGUACGAGAGGACCGGAGUGGACGCAUCACUGGUGUUCGGGUUGUCAUGCCAAUGGCACUGCCCGGUAGCUAAAUGCGGAAGAGAUAAGUGCUGAAAGCAUCUAAGCACGAAACUUGCCCCGAGAUGAGUUCUCCCUGACUCCUUGAGAGUCCUGAAGGAACGUUGAAGACGACGACGUUGAUAGGCCGGGUGUGUAAGCGCAGCGAUGCGUUGAGCUAACCGGUACUAAUGAACC
rnacentral:rRNA from 1 species